rnacentral:rRNA from 1 species
CCUACGGGGAGCUGCAGUGAGGAAUAUUGGUCAAUGGGCGCGAGCCUGAACCAGCCAAGUAGCGUGAAGGAUGACUGCCCUACGGGUUGUAAACUUCUUUUAUAAAGGAAUAAAGUGAAGCACGUGUGCCUUUUUGUAUGUACUUUAUGAAUAAGGAUCGGCUAACGCCGUGCCAGCAGCCGCGGUAAUACGGAGGAUCCGAGCGUUAUCCGGAUUUAUUUGGUUUAAAGGGAGCGUAGAUGGGUUGUUAAGUCAGUUGUGAAAGGUUGCGGCUCAACCGUAGAAUUGCAAUUGAUACUGGCAGUCUUGAGUACAGUUGAGGUAGGCGGAAUUCGUGGUGUAGCGGUGAAAUGCUUAGAUAUCACGAAGAACUCCGAUUGCGAAGGCAGCUUACUAAACUGCCACUGACAUUGAUGCUCGAAAGUGUGGGUAUCAAACAGGAUUAGAUACCCGUGUAGUC